UGCUAAGGUAGCAUAAUAACCCGCCUUUUAAUUGAAGGAUAGCAUGAAAGGAACCACGACUCAUAAAUUUUCUAAGAGCCACUCAAUUAACUUCACCUAAAAGUAAAAAGGCUUUUAUAUAAAAGAAGGACAACAAGACCCUGACGAGCUUCCAUUAUUCAGCUGGGGCAGCUUACAAAUAAAACCUUAGUAUGAAUCUAGAUAACGACCCAAUCAAUAUUGAUCACAAGUCAAGCUACCGCAGGGAUAACAGCGCAAUAGGAUUCCAGAGCCCUUAUCCAAAAUCCCGCUUACGACCUCGAUGUUGAAUUAAUUAAGCUAUAUUAAGCAAAAAAUAUACAAGCAGGUCUGUUCGACCUAUAAACAAUUACAUGAUUUGAGUUCAGACCGGCGCAAGCCAGGUCAGCUUAUAUCCUCUAUCACUUCAAUAUUAGUACGAAAGGACCAUAUAAAUAAUAAGA
rnacentral:rRNA from 1 species